ACUAUAUGCCCCUGCCUUUCUUUUCUCAAAGCAUUCGCUUGAGAAAACUUGCCAUUGUAAAUUCUAUCUCUGCUCUUUUAAGGAUGUAAAUCUUCUCCCGGACUUCUCCCAGGUUUUCAACCUAGAAGCAUCUUUCUCCUGGACCUGGAAGCGAUCCCUUUGAAACACAGUCAUAAAGACAGGGCCUCUGUCUCCUGGGUCCUGUGGGAAGAGUCCUCAGGUGACCUUGGGAGUUCAUGCUUCCUCUCUAAGCCUUCGACCCCAAGCUGAAACAGUGGAGCUGCUGGAGAUGGUACUGGGUGCCCCUGCUAGCUGAGACAUUGCAGGACUUUUGGGACACGAGGUUCUGCCACUCUGAUCAGUCGUCAUCACCGUGUGUGCACAAGAGAACCCUGCAGAGCUUCCCAUGCUACAGCCAUUCAAACCUCUAAUCCUUGGAAUCCUGGUGUGGGAAAACUCAAGUGAAAAUGCCCAGGAAAUUCUGAUUGCUGCAGAGACAUUGAGGGAAUCAGCGAAUCUGGCAAUGAGGUUCUUACUGCAACCCCUAGAGGCAGCUGUCUUAAUGAAGAUGUGGGAACAGGGAGGCCUAUUGCAGAGAAAAAAG